CUGUGUUUUAAAUGUCACAGGGGACUGCCCGAGAUAAUUGGGAGGAAGGCGAGGAUGACGCCAAAUCAGCAUGGCCCUUUGAUGACCUGGGCCGCACACAUGGUACAAUGGCCGGUACAAUGGGUCGAAGCCGCAAGGCGGAGAUUAAUCCCACCAAAGCCGGUCUCAGUUCGGAUUGAGGUCUGAAACCCGACCUCAUGAAGCUGGAAUCGCUAGUAAUCGCCAAUCAGCUAUGUGGCGAUGAAUACGUUCCUGAGUCUUGUACUCACAAUAAACGCGCGUGGCAGGUAUAUUAUCUAAAAAGUUAAAAUCUUUUCCUUU
rnacentral:ncRNA from 1 species